UGGGGAAGUAAUUGCAUGGAUUAAUCUAACAUCUAUAAAAAAAAUUCAGACAUAUGCCAAACAAGAAUAAAAGACAUACACCAAAUGUCCACUUUGAAACAUCAUAGUUUCAUGCUGAUCAAAUGAUCAUAUAUCAGAAUCAUAAAAUCUAUAGAAGAUAUCUAAGCUCCAAAUUAAAGAUGUGAGCACAAAAUAAUCUCACUCACAAAUUUUACAUUGGAAGGUAUGCUAGGUGUAAAACUGUUUCUCAAUGUAAACUAAGAAACCAUUCCUCAUUUUUCCC
rnacentral:lncRNA from 1 species